CCAGCUCUUUGACAUGUCCAUUAUGGGUCUGAGACGAUCCAGAUCCUUCGGUUCGGCCGGGUGGAACACAGGUUGCUGCAUGGCUGUCGUCAGCUCGUGUCGUGAGAUGUUGGGUUAAGUCCCGCAACGAGCGCAACCCUCACCUUUAGUUGCUACCAGGUUAUGCUGGGCACUCUAGAGGAACCGCCGGUGAUAAGCCGGAGGAAGCGGGGAUGACGUCAAGUCCUCAUGGCCCUUACGGGCUGGGCUACACACGUACUACAAUGGUGGUGACAGUGGGAUGCGAAAGCGCGAGCUGGAGCGAAUCCCCAAAAGCCAUCUCAGUUCGGAUUGCACUCUGCAACUCGAGUGCAUGAAGUUGGAAUCGCUAGUAAUCGUGGAUCAGAAUGCCACGGUGAAUACGUUCCCGGGCCUU
rnacentral:rRNA from 1 species